GUCAGGAUGGCCGAGCGGUCUAAGGCGCCAGACUCAAGGUUAACCUUGCCUACUCAGUAGGUUGAGCUGUUCUGGUCCUCUCUGAGGGCGUGGGUUCGAAUCCCACUUCUGACA
rnacentral:tRNA from 1 species